rnacentral:rRNA from 1 species
AUGAGUCCACGCCCACCUGGUGGUUCAUUAAAUCGUAAGAAUUGUCCAAAUGAGCCGACAUCACUACCCAAUCCUGCGAAUUUUUGCCACCCGCAAUUUCCUCAGCAUAUGCAACUUUCACAACCGCCGUAUGCCAUGAAUAUCCCUUUCCACCAAUUCCCACAGCAACACCUAUACCCACCGAAUGUCCAGUACGUUGUUGUCCAACCACAAUAUGCUCCAUACUCUUUACCACCACGGAUGCCGCCUCCACUACCUGCUCUAGUUAUGCCGUCCACGUCAGCGUCUGAUUCAGGCACCCCACGUAUGGAAACUCGUCAAGAAGAACAAGACAUUGAUAUAGUCAAUGAUGAGACUGCUGAACCUGACCGGACUGCUAAGCGAUUACACUGGACAGAACAGGAGGACAUAAGGCUGAUACGUAUUUGGCUGAAUAGCCCGAAGAUCAAGAAGUAUGACGUGUACUGGGCGGAUGUUAUAGCAGCAUACAACAGCAACACCCCUAAAGAUAGGAGAAGGGAACCAGCACAUUUGAGGUGUCAUUGGCAUAAGAUGAUCCCAAAGAUUGCCCGCUUCGAUGAUUGCUGGUGCCAGGUCAAGGCAAAAUAUCCUAGUGGCCUGUCUGACAAUAUGCGGCUGAUGGACAAAACAUGGGUGAUGUUCAAUGCGGAAGCACGGGCGAUGUAUCUUGAGGAAGUAAAACGUCGUUUUGCUUAUAACCACUGCUGGAAAGUUGUCUGGGACCAACCCAAAUGGAAAUCCUACAUCUUGUCUUUGUCCUCCAGAAAAGCUAAGCUCUCUGAGUCUGGGGACUACACGUCAUCCUCUGAAGAUACUGAGGAUGACCCUGAAAAAGAGACAAGCGAAGAAGGUAGCGUCACUGCGAAGGAGAAAUAUGAAGGUAAAGGUGAGGUGGAAAAAGAUAUUCAAUGCUCACUGGAUCUUCAGAACAUGCUAAAGACUAAUCCAGGGGAGAUGACAGGGGUACAACUGCUGCAUGCAGAUCAAAAUCUUGAACCUUCCAGAAUAGAGCCGCCAGAAAGAAAGGACAAUGAAGCAUUAAUAUCAGAGAAGCAACCAGAAUUGUUGAUGACUGCUGCUUCGUGGUACAAUGAGUUUCUGCCUGGGAGUGAGCUGUUGGCUGGUAAUUCGAAGUCCAGCGAGUUGCAACAUGGGGGAGUAUCGAGAGAAGAUGAGCCCGAAAAAGGAACACUUAAACAGGGUUACAAGGCACCAGACCAUGAUAGAGCAACGGCCAUGGAAAACCUUCCUGAAAAGGACUGUACACAAGUCUUCAAGAAGCCAGAUCAUGGGAUAGCAGCGAGGGAAAAUCUUCCUGAAAGCAAAGCAGGUGUGCAAAGUUGCAAGGCGACAAAGCUCAAACGAAAACGCAAUGGCAAGGCGUUGCCUUGUUCGUCUGAGGUGCAGGAGGACAUCAAACGUGCAGUGGAUCUUCAGACCAUGCUUAUGAAGGAUCGGGAGAAGAUGUCAGAGGUACAGCUCCGUCUCUCGAAAGAGAAGCUUGAGUUCGCCAGACUAAAGCAACAGGAAGCAAAGGACAAGAAGGAAACAACACUUUACGAGAAGUAUUCAGAGCUGUUGAUGGCUGACACCUCCAGGUUCAGCGACUUUCAAAAGGCAGAGUAUGAGAAGGCGGUGAAGCGCAUGGGCGAGACGUUAUUUGGUAGAGAUGAUAGCUAG